rnacentral:rRNA from 1 species
UACGUAGGGUGCAAGCGUUGUCCGGAAUUAUUGGGCGUAAAGAGCUCGUAGGCGGUCUGUCGCGUCGGAUGUGAAAACCCAGGGCUCAACCCUGGGCCUGCAUUCGAUACGGGCAGACUAGAGUGUGGCAGGGGAGACUGGAAUUCCUGGCGUAGCGGUGAAAUGCGCAGAUAUCAGGAGGAACACCGGUGGCGAAGGCGGGUCUCUGGGCCAAUACUGACGCUGAGGAGCGAAAGCGUGGGGAGCGAACAGG